UUAAGACUCCUUCAUCCCCUAGGAAGCUACAAGAGGAGUCUGGGUCCCCAUUGUCCAGCACAGCUUGGGGCUGACCUUUGGGCUUCACCCCUGGGAAAAUCUUUCAUUUGGUUUUUGUCUUCUCUGCAGUUGCCAAGUGGGUCCUGUCAGGAAGGGGUGAGAGAGCCUGGGUAAACUGUGUUCUCCUCCCCCUUCUUUCCAUUUUCCAAUGUCAUAUGCAAUUACAAAAUUUUCUUCAACAAGGCCACACCUACUCUAACAAGGCCUAAUUCUUCUAAUCCUUUCAAAUACACUGCUCUCUGAUAACCAAACAUUCAAAAAUAUGAGCCUACGGGGGACAUUCUUAUUCAAACCACAAAAGACAAGAGAUAUCUAUGUAUGCCAACCUUCCCAUUUGCAGUAUGUCUAGAAGGAGAUGAGAAGCAAAUACGAAUGAUGUGUCUUGCUCAGAUAUCAUCAGAGAAGCUUCCUCCUGCAGGAGAUGAGAGCUAAUACAGAGACACAUAUUUGGACAAUGUGCGGAGUGAAAAACCUCUUAACACUCCAUCCUGAAUGGGGUGUCUCCAUUAAUUCUCUCCCAUCAGAGCUCAAGGAACACUUUGGAAGAGGAAGCAAAACAAUUGUCAGAGCCAUAGGGCAUGGAGAAGAGGACACUAAGGCAUUGUUAUCACUGCAAGAACAAUGCACAUAUGAACUCACAGGUACUAUGGCAAUAUGUACCAGUCUGCUGCAUAGGCCUGGGGCUGAUGGCAUCUGAGGUUUGAAAGUGAACACAACCCCACAUCUC
rnacentral:lncRNA from 1 species